rnacentral:misc_RNA from 1 species
UUAAUAAUCAUAGGUUGUUUGUUGGAUAAAUUUGCUCUUGGAAUUAGUUGGAAACAAGGUGCUUAGAAAGUGAUUAAGAUGCUAGGCGUUUGCAGGUUCAAUUAGUCUAAGCAAUCACAUCAGCCUAAUCUGGACAGCAGAAUAGCACUAUCAGAUAACAACAUACUGUGAUUGGAAUUUGCUAAAAAUUGCUUUGUUUAAUAAACAUAACGAAAGACACUGGUCCCUCUUAUCCCAAUCUACUCCUCUGGGCUUCAUCUUACCAUUGGUGGUAUAGCAUCACAACCAUCGAAUACGCUUAAAGAUGAAGAAAGCUCAAUACAGUUGCAAGUUUUUUAUUGUUUGAUGCAGCUUUUGCCACCUAAUCCAAUAACGUUCUAUGCAACUCAGGCCACCACAGCCUACCAUCGCAAGAGGAAAGAGAAUAGGGGGGAAAAAUCCACCAAACUAGUUCCCCCAGUUAAUAGCAUCAUCUAUUGAUUUUUUCUACUCAUGCCAAUCUCGUGCUUCUUUCUCUCCCUCUUAUCUUCUUUAUUUCUUUUCUUUUCUCUAAAGCCUCCUCUUAGAGAAACAAUACUACAGAACUAAGCCAUGGCUGCCUGUGGAAGCCUUCACCAUAUCUUUGAAAAUCCAUUACCAGAAACUCCACUUCUUGAAUCCCUCUCUUCUUGGAACCAAAUCAAGCCUGUAAAACCCAUUGAGCAGUCAUCUUUCACUGAAAUAUUUGGUGAGCUUCAUUUCAAAGAAAAUUCUCAGUCAUCUUCAUCAUCACCUACUCUUCCUGUAUCAUCCUUCUCUUCCCCUUGUUCAUCUUUUAUAGAUUUAAUCCCCCACGCAUCAACUUCAGAAGCCAACAAGAAUGAUAGUUUAGGCAAUGAAUAUGAGAGCAAGAAGAGCCCAUCACUUGACUUCUAUUCAAGCACACCAAAGAAUCACCAAUACUCAGGGGGUCACAAGAACGGUGACAGCUUUUCAUCAAGGAACUAUGAGAGCUUGCAACUAUGCACAGAGGGGCUUGGUUUUGAAAGCUUUGAUGAUGUUGAGGACUUGAAGAAUGAUAUAAAUGAAGAUUGGCAAUACCAAGAGGAGAAAGUAAGCAUCACAAGGCAUUCAACAAUGGAGAAUCUAAGUGGAGAAAUCCGGAGGACAAGGCUGAGCGGCAGAGCAUUCCCACCACCAAUUUCGUGUAUAGGCAAGAGUGGAAAACCUUGGGUUUCCUUCAAGUCUUAUAGGCAGGAUGGCAGGUUCGUUCUUAAGCAAGUAAGGAUUCCCAGCCAAGAGUUUUUACACGCACAUAGAGAAGAUGGACGAUUAAAACUGCACUUUGUUCAGCCAAGUGAUGAAGUUUUUGAAGAAGAAGAUGAAGAUGAUGGUGAUGAGGUAGGGGAAGAAGAAAACUGCACAGAAGAUGAGGAACAUGAAGAACAUGAAGAAACAGGACACAAAACUGACAAGGAUGAUGAUGGAUGAAAAGAACACUGUGAGCUGCAGACUUAAGCCAGGGCAAGUUGUCAUGCAUGGGUAGGAAUUUUUUUUUUCUUGACUACUGGGAAAAUCUCCAGCCUCUGUUUUUCUUCCACAGUUGCAAAUAAGUAGAAAAAAGAAGAAAACUUUUGACUGUAAGCAUAAUUUCCCAUCCAUUCCUUUUUUUUUUUUUAACUUUUUCCUCAACCCUCUUUUUUUUUCUCCAAGUAUUUCUUCCCAUUCUCUAUAUUUUGCAUUCAGAAUUCAGAGCAUCAAGCAUCGUUAGAAAGAAAAAGAACACAAUAAUUAGAUUUGACAAUUAAGAUUGCAAAGCAUCUAGUCUGCUUGACUUAAUCCGGUGACUAAAGGUAUAUCACUUAUUUAGCAAAGCCAAAUUCAAGUCCCCACUCCCCUAAUUCCCUACUAAAAAACAGCAUACUGUUGAUAUGAAUUUUGCCUAGCAUUCAGAUGGAGGGAAGGGAAAAAAAAUCAGUUUUAUGGGUAUCAACAUCUGAAUCAUAUCAACAACUUUUUAAAGGAGCAACCUUAUAAACUAUACAAUCCAAGUACAAAAUUCCAGUUAAUCAAAAUGAGCAAUCAAACUUGUGUCAUAUGCUUGCGUGACCAGUAUAAUUGCAAACUAACAGUAACCAGGCUGUGCAUAAUGGCCCUACAAUCCAGCAACAGAAGCAUUUGAUAUUCAUAAGAAGCAGGGGAACCGCAAAAGCAGGAAGGAAAUACAAUGAAAUUGUCCAGACAAAGAAAUAGUUGGGACCUCCAAAUUGCCAAUGACAUCACAAUGCACUAAAGACAUUCUAGAAGUAGGAAAUAAAUACAUUCUAACAUUGACAUUCACUUUAAGGACUUUCAGCCACCUUCUACAGGUAGCCGGAAAAGAAACAGAUUACGACCCAAGACCUCCCAUAAGGAUUCUGAUAAUGGUAUGACAGACCAAACCUUCACCUUUCACUAGCAUGUGUUAUUACUCUCUGCAUACAUGGACAUGCGCAUUAAUUUAUCUUAUUUUGACAGACAUGAUCACUCUAGUACUUUAAGUCACUAGACAGUAAAAGAUAAUCAGGAAGCAGGGACCGAAACUCUCAGAACCCUUGUAUGAUUACACCCUUGAGCUAACACAUAAAUUAGGUGUAAAAGGAGUUAAAUUUGAAGAAAGUGCUAGAUAAAUUACAUAUUAAUUCAUUUUAA